rnacentral:rRNA from 1 species
AACGAACGCUGGCGGCAGGCUUAACACAUGCAAGUCGAGCGCCCCGCAAGGGGGAGCGGCAGACGGGUGAGUAACGCGUGGGAAUCUACCCAGUUCUACGGAAUAACACAGGGAAACUUGUGCUAAUACCGUAUACGCCCUACGGGGGAAAGAUUUAUCGGAAUUGGAUGAGCCCGCGUUGGAUUAGCUAGUUGGUGGGGUAAUGGCCUACCAAGGCGACGAUCCAUAGCUGGUCUGAGAGGAUGAUCAGCCACACUGGGACUGAGACACGGCCCAGACUCCUACGGGAGGCAGCAGUGGGGAAUAUUGGACAAUGGGCGAAAGCCUGAUCCAGCCGUGCCGCGUGAGUGAUGAAGGCCCUAGGGGUUGUAAAGGCUCUUUCAGUGGGG